UGCACAUUUUACUCUUCAUAUUGGCCUUAAAUUUGUGAGCUAAUAUACUUAAAGACAGCACCCAGCUGCUCAUAAAAUUUAUGUAUGGUAGUUGGAAUUCAGCUUUAAGUUUGGUCUUGAGAAUUGUGUAUCAGGUCAGCAUAUGUCAGCGAACAGCUGCUUAUAAAAACUGUAUGUUAGUUGGAGCUCAGCAGGAUUUUGUUAUGAAUUUUGUGCAUAAGUUCAGCAUAUGAAUGUUCAUAAAAUAUUAAUUGUAAAAAUGAGCUCAUGUUGUUUAUGAGGUAGCAUAUGGUCUCUUUUUUAGUCUCGUUAACCUUAUGUUAUUCACAGGUUUAGUAACCUUUGUUCUUUAUAUUUGUUACUUAUUCAGAUAUAACUUUGUGCUUAUGUGGGUUUUAAUGUUUAUGCUUAUUUAGUCCAUACGGUUACAUGAUAUUCAGUACACAAUGUUAUUAUCUGUUGAAGAACACAUGUUUGCUACAAUUAAUAUUGAGCAGUAUAUAAUUUAUGAAAUGCCUUUCCUUGGGUGGCGCUGCAUGCUUCAUGCAAGCAUUUUGCAUGCUGUGUGGCCUCUUUGUUUACGCCACCUUCUUGUUACACAAACUUGGUAAUCAUUAUAUAACAAUAGCUGGGAUAAGCACUAAGUCACAAUAUAUCAUAUCUAAGUUGAAACUAAUCAUUAAUUGGCCUUAUCCCAGCUAUAAUUUACAUGAUUGUAUGUAAUAUUGUAUAUUUAUGUGUUUUUGUUCACUUUCGUCAUUUAUCUGGUCAAUAAAUGACAUUUUCACUCAACUCAAGUUCUCGUGUCUUCACUAGUUUUCAAGUAACAAGAACAAGCUACGGAAAGGCUUUUCAUAUUGUGAGAGUUACUUUUAUUAGUGGAAAAGUUGUGGAUAUAAAUACAAUUUUAUGUCUCAUAAAAUGAUUUAUAUACAAUCUUUUUUACAUUGUUUUUGACAAAUUUAGAUUAAAAUUCCAGUUGUUAUUGAUUUUUAAUGUAAAAAGAGUGGGGUCGACUGGAUCGGGAUCGAACUCAUGUUUGGAUCGGGUUCGGCUUGAUCGGGAUCGAGUGCUCAAUUAAUUUGAUUUUACGCAAACAUGAGGUUGGAAUCAAUUUACCGCCACCUCCCAUCCUCCUCCCAUGUAAUACCAAUAUUUGAAUUUUUGUUGUAUGGAAAUUUUUCCUCAUUGUAUAACAUCAAGCAUUUACCAAGCCGUGUGGCCUCUUUGUUUACGCCACCUUCUUGUUACACAAACUUGGUAAUCAUUAUAUAACAAUAGCUGGGAUAAGCACUAAGUCACAAUAUAUCAUAUCUAAGUUGAAACUAAUCAUUAAUUGGCCUUAUCCCAGCUAUAAUUUACAUGAUUGUAUGUAAUAUUGUAUAUUUAUGUGUUUUUGUUCACUUUCGUCAUUUAUCUGGUCAAUAAAUGACAUUUUCACUCAA